AUGUCACAUGAGCAAACCUGCAGCACACAUCAAUAUUUGGUCAGAAUUAUUAGUGACAUAGAAGAAGAACAAAAGUACACAUAUAAAAUUGCUGACAGGACAAUGAGGUCUUAUCUGACCUCAGCUGACUAUUCCAUGGAAGGGCUUAGGAGUGAUUUGGAAACUGCAGAGGUGGAGUGCAAAUGUUGUGGUGUGUGGGUACAGCCUUUUAUCAGUAUCUUCAGUUUUGCUUUCCACCCUGUCACAGAAACUGUUUUAGCCAUUAAACUACAUAAGUACAUAAUUGCAUCAUUUAAGUCUUCAGGGGAGCUGAGAUCAAAAGCUGUCCAUGUUGAGGAGGGCAGUGUUUGUGGUGCUGGUGCUGUUUGCUCUCGUUCCUCUGAAUGAUGGCAGCUGCUGGCUGGGAUUUCUUAAAAAAGAAUGCCAAUGGUGCACGUUACAGGCGACUGCACAGUGGUAUACGAUUAUGACACCUGUACAUCUGAUGUCAUUCAUAAGGAAAACGGCACAGUUCCAUGCACUGCCAUGAGCUCUGGAAAGUGAAAUAAAGUGAAAUUGGUGUAAAGAAAAGAAAGCCAAAUUCAGUAAUUCUACAUGUGAGAUAAAUUUAACCAAACAUUCUUAAUAAUGAAGGUUGAUAACUGAUACUGAGUUAUUUCUAGCUAGCUGGGAAAACUGUAUAGCUAAACUGCCUUAAAGAUAGUGUACUACAAUCUUUAGGACCUUAAUAAUGAUGGUGGAUUUGUGGCAUAUUAAAGAAAAUAUUUCUAUUCUGCUCCUUUGAGUUGUCAUUCCUGCAACAAUCCUUUAGACUGUAGUAAGAUCACUGUCAACUCUGAAAUCCACAGCAUGAUACUCCCACCACCAAACUUUACUUUAGGUAUAUCUGGACAUUGAAUCAGUUUUGAAACACAAAAUCCACAAUACCAGUAUUUUAAAUGAUUUAUGCAAUCACACUUUCAGCAAGAGCGAGAAGAAAAUCCACUUUUUAUUCAAUAAAAUCAAUCUAGUAUUGUAUUAUUAGUAGUAUUAUUUGUGUAAGGGAUAAAAGUUACAGGUUCAAAACAUUGUGAAAUAAUGCAUGAAAACAUCUCCCAAAGUGGAAAGGUUACAAACAGAGUUUCUGAUAAACUUUUAAAAACAAAUAUUAUAUAUAAGUAAGUAAAUGGUGCAGCAGUUGCAUUCUGGCGCCUCAGGCUAUUUGUGGGAUUGUUGUUCUAAUUUUCCCAUUCCACAUUUAAGAUGGAACUGGAAAAUACAAACAACAAGCCAGCGCAAUUGGAAGUCAACUUCAGCCUCUUCUGCUUUGGUAACCCAGCUUCACGCAGACCAGAUUAUGAAUGCUAGUACUCAAAUGUUGAAAUCACUUAAAAUGUCCAUCCCUGCUGAAAAAUUAGGUAAGGUUAACUAACUUCAGCUGAAGUCUAGUGCUUACCUGUUUUGGACAUGCGUCUUGAAUUCCUUGAGGGCUCUAAACUGACUGUCUUUCGAAUGCAUCGGCAAUAUUUACUCGCAUUUUACUGCAUUUCUGGUCAUGCAGCUUUUUAUACGAAGGCUUUUUAGGUCAGGAUGAAAUUUGUUUGGAUGCUUCCAUGGCUGCAGCACACAGUGUUUGCCUGCUUAUGCGUUACAUAACCCAGGGUGUUGAAAUGGUACUGAGAAAUGGGCAGUUGGUGGGAUCAUGGGUCAAAACACAAACAGACUUUCCUUCCAUAAUUUUUAACUUACCAUGUUUUCUUAAUUUCUGAUAACAUAGAGUAUCAUGGUAAAUUUAUGAUUUAGUAGAGUAAUGGUAUUACAUAUUAUUCCUUUAAGAAUAUCCAGAAAAAGUACAUAUAAACUGAAUUGAAUGGAAUGAACCAGAAGUCGUGGGCAGUCGUGGGCUGGAGGUUAGGGAUCUGGCCCUGUAACCAGAAGGUUCUAAAGCAGGAGUGUCUGAUCUUAUUUGAUGAUAAGAGUCAGAGUGAUUGCAGGUUUUUAUUCCAACACGACAGCAACUGAUUAAACAAGUGGAAUCAGGUCAACAAAACUGGCAGCCACAUUGGCCCUUUGCAGAUAAGAUUAGACCCCCUUGUUCUAGAGUCUUUCAGUAAUCUGACACAGGCAUGGCAUACCAAACAGCUGACCUACUCCUUUCAUCAAGAAGGGGAAAAACUGAAACACUCCUUACAACAAACCUGCAGUGAGAACGGCACUAGCAGUAUUAUUAGGUUAAGAGACGUGAAAAGCUGAAGGAAUGUGUAAAGCUUGACACACUAACCUGAUCAUCUGGAGGAGACUGUUGUGAAGGAUGUGACUGAGAAGGCAGAGAUGGUGCAGCUGUGUCGCUAACUAGGCUAGCUACUGUAACUGAUGUUAGCUAGGUCCAGAAACAAAUAACAUGUUGGCAUCAUCCACUGAGGGGAAAAUACUUUGUGUAGGACACUAAGUCCUCAUCAGUAUCCACAGAUUAGCUCUGUUUUUGAAUAAUUAAAGACGUUCCUCUGCCUGAUUCUAUAUAUAUUUAUUUUGCUGUUGCCAAAAAUGGUAAGCACUGCCAUUAUAUUACAUUGUUUUUGUCCAAAGUUUACUGUUUUUUCCCAUGUUUUUUUUUCUUUCUUGCAGUUAACAAGAUAUCUUACGGAUACUGCAAUAUCAAAAAUAGUCAGAAUGCCUAUCCCUUCUAUUGUUUCAUAAAAGAUGCUAAAAGAUCUAGUGUACAAGACAAGUCCUCCAACUAUCUGGGAUAACACAGCAAUGAUCUAACAUCACCUUCGCAACCACCUGAGAUUCCAUUGCAAUGGCCUUGCCAAACCUUAGCAACCACCUGAGCUACCAUGGCCGUGGCCUAGCAACAUCUUAGCAACCACCUCGGAUAACAUAGCAGCAUUAUAGAAACCACCUUGGAUUUCAUAGCAACAGCUUUGGCAAACCAACUGAAAGUCCUGAAAUCUGGAGAUGCUGCAGCCCCCCAGGACCAGCACUUAGCACAUCCCUGCUCUCAUUAGCUCACUUUGACAGUGGAAAGUAGUGAAACAGAAACUUUUCUUUUAUGUGAUGUUUCUUAGAUUCUUAGUCUAGCAGUAUGUGUCUCACUGAAGCAGUCUACUUUACGUCUAACUGGAAAUUCUGCAGGAAGAUUUAAGUCUGCAUGGAUGCAAACUUGCUGUCAGAAGGUUUUUUACUUCACACCGUUAUUGACUUUAAGAUAGCCUCCACUAUGGUGAGCCCUCCAUGUGACCAAGGCAACUUGUUUGUACAGAGGGAAAGGGGCUGGAAUGAGACUGGCAAAGAGACGGUCAUAGGCCAGCCUUAGCAGUACAGCAAAAAUGUGACUUCAUUAGUUUAGUGGUCACAGACCUCAGAACAUCCACACUGAGCCUGCAAUCAUGGUGAGUUUACAUGAUUUCUGUGUUUACUAGUGCUGCUUAAAUAAGGUUUAAAUGUUAUCAAUAAAUCAUUUAAAGUCAGGGUACAUUGAUGGUGACCGUCGUUUACAAUGUAGCUGAGAAAUGUACAAAAAAAACAAAUGACUCAAAGAGAGUAAAUAUAAUUCUGUAGUAAUGAACGUGAUAUAAAGCAUAAGGAUGAAAUUAAAACACAGAACAUAACAAUUCUCACACAAAUAAAAUGAAGAAUAAAAAAAGUAUAAAACUCAAAUAAAACAAGAGAAUAAGAAAAGAAAGAAAUAAAACUAAAGUAAUAAUGCUAAAAUACUAUAAAAUCCUAAAAAUCAACUAAAAACUAAAAUCAACAAAAAACAGUUGAUGGUUCAGUAAAGGUGGUUAGAGAUCAGACGUUCAGCAACUCUUGAUACUAUAAUCAAAUAACUGAAUUAUUAAAUCAGCAUUGAAGGCUCUGAAAAUCAAUGUAUUUUUUUUAAAUUCAAUAAUCAGUGGUCGCAGCAACAUUGUUAAUAUGUAAAUUGAAUAAGACUGGCCCCAGGAUUUAACCUUGUGGAACACCUUUAGAUGUAAUACACCGAAAAUGUUGAUUUAUUUAGGAUCAUUUGAUUAUUUGUAUAUAACAAUAUGCACAGAAAUGACCUCACAGUUGUCCACAUAGUGGGUCUAGGACAUUCCUAAUCUUGUUUGUGAUGGAACCUGUUUGUGAUUAACCUGUAUAUUUUGUUGUCUUCCCUGCUGUAACACACGAAUCAGUGAAUCAGAUCAUUAGCAACCCCAUUCUCAGUCGAAAUGAGUGUGUUAGAGCAGGAAAAAAGCUAAAAUAGUGGGCCAGACCCUGUUAACAUAAAGCUUCUAAAAGCCCAGAGUGCUGAUCUCAUUAUAAAUAAGUAAGGAAUCUGAUCCCAGAUUGGCACUGAUAUACUGAAAAGCUUUAUGAAUAUAGGCCCUGCUUUGGGAACCUCUGCUCUAGGCCAGUUGUUCUUAUUCGGAAUGACCUGUGCUGGGGUUCCCAAACUUAUUUCAUCACAAAGAUGACACUUAAAUGGUAGAGUGAGCAUAGCACUGAGCACUCUCUCUAGCAGUGAAGAUGAUCUUAAUUCUAAGAUGGGAAUUCAGGCUUUGUUCCUGCAGAAAUCAGAAGCAGGAGCAAGAAAACAGUUUGAAAUCCAGUUAUGUCAGUGAAAAUAAUCCAUUUUAAUGAAACUGGAUUUUUCUCACAUUGGAAAGAAAAUUGCAGUCUUGCUACUCAUACCAAUAAAAAGAGUAGAACAAUGCAGUUCAUUAAAACAUAAAAAUUCUCCAGACAGAGUGCGGAGGUGUUCGUGAACUCCGUUUGUUUACAUGUGUUUUGUUCCUGUGCUGAAGAGGUCAGUGUUCGUGGGGUUGGUGCUGUUUGCUCUCGUUCCUCUGAAUGAUGCCGCCUGCUUCAUGGCGUUGCUGAAAGGAGGUAUCCAAAGAGUUGUGCCCUGUUAUGUUCAUGUCGGUUUAUAUUGUGAUGUGUUACUAACUUCUGAGCUUUGAUAGGCGCCACUCAUUGUCAGGACCUCUUAGAUAAGACCUGGCAUCCUGUGGGAUCCUCCUGGACCAACAGCAAAUGUGAUCAGUGUGACUGCAGUGCUGAUGGAAUGCGCUGCUGUAAUGG
ensembl:lncRNA